AGAGUUUGAUCCUGGCUCAGAACGAACGCUGGCGGCGUGGAUAAGACAUGCAAGUCGAGCGGGAUUUCUUUUGGUAGCAAUACCGAAGGAAGUCUAGCGGCGAACGGGUGCUUAACACGUGGGCAACCUGCCAAGAAGUGGGGGAUAGCUCGCCGAAAGGCGAAUUAAUACCGCAUGUGAUUAGAGAGGACAUCCUUUCGAAAUUAAAGUCGGGGCAACCUGACGCUUUUUGUGGGGCCCGCGGCCUAUCAGCUAGUUGGUGGGGUAACGGCCCACCAAGGCUUUGACGGGUAGCUGGUCUGAGAGGACGACCAGCCACACUGGGACUGAGACACGGCCCAGACACCUACGGGUGGCAGCAGUCGAGAAUUUUUGACAAUGGGGGAAACCCUGAUCGAGCGACGCCGCGUGGAGGAUGAAGGUCUUCGGAUUGUAAACUCCUGUCAUUGGGGAACAAGGUGCAUACGUUAACUGCGUGUGCAUUGAUAUACCCGAAGAGAAGGACA
rnacentral:rRNA from 1 species